UUGUUUUGGGUUGGUUUUUUCCUUAAGUUCCACAGCACACAUUCUUCAGCCCCAUCCUGCUGAACUGGUCUCAGCAAGCGGUGCCCAACGUGGGGCGGGAAACAGGCAGAUAUGAAGAACGAAGGACCAUGACUACAGUGGGAAUUUUUAUUCAUUGUAAGUGCUGUGGAGCCCUGAGAAGAAGGGAGGAAUUUUGCAUGGCCAUGCUGAAGAAAUCCUGUGGAUACAUUCCCUCUCUCAGGGUCGCAUAGAACCCCAACUGCUAUAAAGUUUACAGUUAUUACCCCCAUGGACCCAUCCUCUGCCACCACAUCAUAGUCAAGAAGUCUGCAUCCGCGGCUGACAUGGACACCUGGGAGGCUGGGCAGCACCUCGAGAAUCCCCUCAUGGUCAAGUUCCAGAGACUCCCUUCACCAUCGUCAGAGAAUGCUGAGCCCUGCUCUGGCCACUCCUGGAAGCUGGUCAUUCUACACACAGCAGAAGCGCGAGGAGUUCUACAUGAGACUUAACUUGGAUUCGUGCUCUGUCUAUAGAUGAGGGAAGCAAGCGGUUUGGGAAGUAGUGAUGAAAGGAAGUUGUGGGAUCUCUUUUUGUCCUCCUGUAAAAACAAAAAGGGGGAGAUGUCACGAGACGUAUUUUUCUAAUUUCUUGCUUGAUCAUCCAUUAUCACAAGACAUGUUUUUCGAAUCUUCUUGCUUGAUUAUCCACCCACAGCCCCUCCUCAUGUGAUCUCAUCAAAAGAGUAAAAUAAAAGUGGUGUGGCUUCUUGAGGCGGAGCUCUUGGUUCUAGAGACCUUGAGUGCCCUGGUUCCCACCUUUACUGUCUCUGUCUCUGUGUUUUGCUUUGUAUUGGCAUUUUGUUUGGGGUUGGUUUUUUCCUUAAGUUCCACAGCACCCAUUCUUCAGCCUCAUCCUGCUGAGCUAGUCCCGGCAACCCCUAUGGCAGGAACCCCCUAAGGAGGUCCCUAGUGAUCUUCACCUCCAGGGACUCCUGGCCUGUACAGUCUUUCUUCUUUGAGUAACUUGUUUCUAACUAAUGGGACAUGGCAAGUUGAGAAGCUGUCACUUCUGUGAUUGGAUUAUAUAAAAUUUUGACUUCUACCUUGC